GACGAACCGUGCAAACGUUAUUCGGAAUCACUGGGCUUAAAGGGCGCGUAGGCGGGCCGCCAGGUCCGGGGUGAAAGCCUCCAGCUCAACUGGAGAAGUGCCUUGGAUACCGGCGGCCUCGAGGGAGGCAGGGGCGUGCGGAACUUCGGGUGGAGCGGUGAAAUGCGUAGAUAUCCGAAGGAACACCGGUGGCGAAAGCGGCGCGCUGGACCUCUUCUGACGCCUGAGGCGCGAAAGCCAGGGGAGCAAACGGGAU
rnacentral:rRNA from 1 species